UAACGCGUGGGAAUCUGCCCUCAGGUUCGGAAUAACGACGGGAAACUGUCGCUAAUACCGGAUGUCGCCCUUAGGGGGAAAGAUUUAUCGCUGAUAGAUGAGCCCGCGUACGAUUAGCUAGUUGGUGAGGUAAUGGCUCACCAAGGCUACGAUCGUUAGCUGGUCUGAGAGGAUGAUCAGCCACACUGGGACUGAGACACGGCCCAGACUCCUACGGGAGGCAGCAGUGGGGAAUAUUGGACAAUGGGCGAAAGCCUGAUCCAGCAAUGCCGCGUGAGUGAUGAAGGCCUUAGGGUUGU
rnacentral:rRNA from 1 species